rnacentral:tRNA from 1 species
GGUAAAAUGGCUGAUAAAAGCGAUAAAUUGUAAAUUUAUUCAUGAAAAUAUUUUCUUUUACCA